rnacentral:rRNA from 1 species
CUACGUGCCAGCAGCCGCGGUAAUACGUAGGGCGCGAGCGUUGUCCGGAAUUAUUGGGCGUAAAGAGCUUGUAGGCGGUUUGUCGCGUCUGCUGUGAAAGGCCGGGGCUUAACUCCGUGUAUUGCAGUGGGUACGGGCAGACUAGAGUGCAGUAGGGGAGACUGGAAUUCCUGGUGUAGCGGUGGAAUGCGCAGAUAUCAGGAGGAACACCGAUGGCGAAGGCAGGUCUCUGGGCUGUAACUGACGCUGAGAAGCGAAAGCAUGGGGAGCGAACAGGAUUAGAUACCCUGGUAGUCCAUGCCGUAAACGUUGGGCACUAGGUGUGGGGGACAUUCCACGUUUUCCGCGCCGUAGCUAACGCAUUAAGUGCCCCGCCUGGGGAGUACGGCCGCAAGGCUAAAACUCAAAGAAAUUGACGGGGGCCCGCACAAGCGGCGGAGCAUGCGGAUUAAUUCGAUGCAACGCGAAGAACCUUACCAAGGCUUGACAUGC